GAGCGGCGAACGGGUGAGUAACACGUGAGUAACCUGCCCCUGACUCUGGGAUAAGCCCGGGAAACUGGGUCUAAUACCGGAUACGACACCUCCCGGCAUCGGGUGGGUGUGGAAAGUUUUUUCGGUCGGGGAUGGACUCGCGGCCUAUCAGCUUGUUGGUGGGGUAACGGCCUACCAAGGCGACGACGGGUAGCCGGCCUGAGAGGGCGACCGGCCACACUGGGACUGAGACACGGCCCAGACUCCUACGGGAGGCAGCAGUGGGGAAUAUUGCGCAAUGGGCGAAAGCCUGACGCAGCGACGCCGCGUGGGGGAUGACGGCCUUCGGGUUGUAAACCUCUUUCAGCAGGGACGAAAUUGACGUGUACCUGCAGAAGAAGCGCCGGCUAACUACGUGCCAGCAGCCGCGGUAAUACGUAGGGCGCAAGCGUUGUCCGGAAUUAUUGGGCGUAAAAGAGCUCGUAGGUGGCUUGUCACGUCGGAUGUGAAAGCUUGGGGCUUAACUNCAGGUCUGCAUUCGAUACGGGCUGGCUAGAGGNUAGGUAGGGGAGAACGC
rnacentral:rRNA from 1 species